GGAAACUGCAAAAGUGGAAAUGUAGUAGCUGCAAAUACUGCAUGUGCAGACAAGGCCUCAUUCUCCACUGUCUUGUAGUCUCCUGUGCAACCCAGUAUAAUCUGAGAAAAAUCUAUCACUGAGUUUAUCAACAUCCUUCUUGAAUUGUGGACACCAGAACUGGACACGGUAUUCCACCAGAGGUCUCACCAGUUCCAAAUACAGAGCAUUUGAGAAGUCUUAUUUGCAUAUGAAGAUUCUACAGCAGGAGGGAACAUUCCUUUGGAAUAAAAGAGGUGCUGAGAUAUAUGUCCUUUGCUGUGAUUGGUAGGAUGGGUACCAGUGCUUUGUACUGUAUAAAAGCAUAUUUGUAAUGUAACCUUUCCUAUUAGCUACUGACCUUUCUUCGUGAUCAGACAACCUUUAUAUGAAGUGUGCAGAAGAAAAGAAAAUCCAGAAAUGGCUUUUCAAGCCGAGAAUUGGAAAGCAGCAAAGGGCUCUGCUCCUCCUAUGAUGAGGGAAACCUAAAAAUAUGUACCAGCUUUCUUUGCUGUUACUAUGUAAGAUAAAAGGUGUGAUUUCGAAGAAAAGCAGAAGGAGAAAGAUGAAUUUAGAAGUAGAGAAGU